rnacentral:lncRNA from 1 species
GGGCUAGUUGAUUCAGCAGGUGAGUUGUUACACACUCCUUAGCGGAUUUUGACUUCCAUGACCACCGUCCUGCCGUCUUAAUCGACCAACACUCUUUGUGGGAUCUAGGUUAGCGCACAUUUUGACACCAUAACCUAGCUUCCGGUUAAUCCCGCAUCACCAGUUCUGCUUACCAAAAAUGGCCCACUUAGAGCUCUUCAUUCUGUGGUGCGGCUCAACAAAGCAGCCGCACUGUCCUACUUCUUUAAAGUUUGAGAAUAGGCCGAGGGCGUUGCGCCCCCGAGGCCUCUAAUCAUUGGCUUUACCGAUAGAACUCGCACGCAAGCUCCAGCAAUCCUGAGGGAAACUUCGGAGGGAACCACCUACUAGACAGUUCGAUUAGUCUUUCGCCCCUAUACCCAAGUCAGACGAACGAUUUGCACGUCAGUAUCGCGGCGGUCCUCCACCAGAGUUUCCUCUGGCUCUGCCCCGCUCUGGCAAAGUUCACCAUCUUCUAGGUCCCGAAAGGUAUGCUCACACUCAAACCCUUCCUAGAAGAUUAACGUUGGUUGGUUGUGCACCCCUCAGUGGGAUCCCACCAAUAAGCUUCCUUAUGCCUUACGGGUUUACUCGCCUGUUGACUCGAACACAUGUCAGACUCCUUGGUCCGUGUUUCAAGACGGGUUGAAUGGGGAGCCCACAGGCCAGCAUCCGGAGCAUGCAGAUACCAGAGCAUGCCGGAGGAGCGCGCUACCUUCCACAAUUAGGGAGAAGGCGUUCCACGGGGGUAUCGAGAGCUUGGGCUUUGGCCGCUCCCCCAAUACACGCUUGUCCACGCCAUGAGUCAAUCGGCGGACCAGCUCAUCACCAUUCCACAUCUGACCGGGGUGCAUCGCCGGCCCCCAUCCGCUUCAAUCCCGACAACUUCAAGAACUCUUUGACUCUAUUUUCAAAGUCCUUUUCAUUUUUCCCUCGCGGUAAUUGUUCGCUAUCGGUCUCUCACCAGCAUUUAGCCUUGGACGAAAUUCACUGCUCGAUUUAAGCUGCAUUUGUAAACAACCCGACUCGUAGAUAGCACCUCGUGGUGAGACAAGGUCCGGGCACGACAAGGAUCUCACCAUCUCCGGCGCCCCCUUCCAAGGGACUUAGGCCCGGUCUUCCGCUAAGGACGCUUCUCUAGACUACAAUUCGAAAGACGGAUCCGCCCGAUUCUAAGGCUGGGCUAUUCCUUGUUUGCUCGUUGUUACUAGGGUAAUCCUUGUAAGUUUCUUUUUCUCCGCUUAUUGUUAUGCUUAAACUUAGCGUGUAAUCCCGCCGGACCUCGGGUCACAGUCAGAGCGCCUGGUGAGACGCAGUAAGGGUCAGGGAGUCCGGACGCGCGACAGACUGUAGCCUUGACAACAAGAGAGAGUUGAGUUUCAACCAGCACUUGCUGCGACGUCUACCGACGUGGACUCGCAUUUAGGCCGGCCGCGCGCUCGGGGUGCACGGGUGUCCAGCUUCCGCCCUCGCGCUCAGUUUUGCGAUGUGCGGGAGGGGGGAGGUGCAACGCGAUGCGUGACAUCCAGGAAGACGUGCCCUCGGCCAAACGGCUUCAGGAGCAACUUGCGUUCAAAGACUCGAUGGUUCACGGGAUUCUGCAAUUUACACAAGUAUCACAUUUCGCUACAUUGUUCAUUGAUGUGAGAGCCGAGAUAUCCGUUGCCAAUAGUCAUUUGUGUUUAUAGAGCAGUGUGCAUCCCCCUCACGAUCUGCGAACGAGGUGCGAGGGGAUGGAUGUUGAUUGUAGUAAUCAUUGGCGCUUUCCGCGCCAAGGUUCGUUGGUCGCCCGAAAAGCUUGCGCGCGUCGGGCGAUAGGAGGGAGGCGCACGACGAGCGAGCGCCUCCUCCUGAUGUUUAAAAUAAGUUCGCGGGUCGUUCUGCUGUGCAGGUUUUGACAAUGAUCCUUCCGCAAGUUCACCUAUGGAAACCUUGUUACGAAAAAAGAUAAGGUUCAAUGGAUUUCUCACGACGUUGCGAACAACGAACCGCCCAUGUCACCGUGAUCCGAAUAUUUCACUGGAUCAUUCAAUUGGUUAGAGCAAUGGGUGUUGUGUAAAAAGGGUAGGGACAUAGUCAACGCGAGCUGAUGACUCGCGCUUACUAGGAAUUCCUCAUUGAAGACCAACAAAUGCAAUGAUCUAUCCCCAUCACGAUGGAAUUUCAAAGAUUACCCGGGCCUGUCGGACAUGGAUAUAAUCUCGUUGAAUUCCUCAGUGUAGCGCGCGUGCGUCCCAGAACAUCUAAGGGAAUCACAGACCUGUUAUUGCCUAAAACUUCCGCGACCUAAAAGGCUGUAGUCCCUCUAAGAAGCUGGCCGCGAAGGGAUACCUUCGCAUAGCUAGUUAGCAGGCUGAGGUCUCGUUCAUUAACGAAAUUAACUAGACAAAUGGCUCCACCAACUAAGAACGGCCAUGCACCACCACCCGUAGAAUCAAGAAAGAGCUCUCAGUCUGUCAAUCCUUACUAUGUCUGGACCUGGUAAGUUUCCCCGUGUUGAGUCAAAUUAAGCCGCAGGCUCCACUCCUGGUGGUGCCCUUCUGCCAAUUCCUUUAAGUUUCAGCCUUUCGACCAUACUCCCCCCGGAACCAAAAAAAUUUUGAUUUCUCAUAAGGUGCCGGUGGAGUCCUAAAAGCAACAUUCGUCGAUCCCUGGUUAGUAUCGUUUAUGGUUGAGACUAGGAGGGUAUUUGAUCAUCUUAGAGACCUCACAUUCGUUCUUAAUUAAUGAAAACAUCCUUGGAAAAUGCUUUCGCAUUUGUUCGUCUUUCAUAAAUCCAAGAAUUUCACCUCUGACUAUGAAAUACGAAUGCCCGCGACUGUCCCUGUUAAUCAUUACUCCGAUACUGAAGGCUAACAUAAUAGGACCAAAAAACUAUAUAUUAUCCCAUGUUAAUGUAUAUAGAGCGUAGUGUCACGACCCGCCAGAUACCCAGGCAGUUCGCGACCUUCCUAGGCAGCCAGCAGCAGGCGCAAGGGGGCAGGCAGCCCACACUGGUCAGAAGACCAAGGUGCUGGCGCCCAAGCAGGCAGCAAUUGGAGGGGCAGCCGUUACAACCGUUUCGGCAGUUUCAGCCGUUUCAGCAGUUACAGCCAUUACACCUGUUACUGAACGUCAAGGGGCAGUAGUUUCAAGCCUUGAUGAGGCUUGCUCAAGGCCUCUAGGAUGUGGGGGGCAGACUAGUCAAGGCUAGGAGUCCUUUUUGGAAGACUUAGGAGUCAUGCCUUGAGUGCAUGAACAUAGGGGCUUGUAUAGUUGUAUUUAUUUACUCUUAGGGGUUAGAGUAGUAUAAUAGUAGGGUCAUUGUAUUUUGUAAAGCAUCCAACAAUUCAUUGACUAAUAAUAUACUAGUCCAAUCUUCCAAAUUCUGUCUUUGUUUUCUCUUUCUAAGUUCUCUUAGCGAUCCAAGUAGAGGAAGGCUUACUUGAGUCUACAAGAUCGUGCAAGAAUCGUGAGUAGACCGUCAGGUGCCGCACGGAGCAUUGUCCGAUUUGAUAAGUCCGUGAAAAUUGGUAUCAGAGCAGGUUCAUCUAGAGAAUGACGAACGGUGGAGACGGCACUAGCAGCACCCCCAACGUCCGCACUGAUGGUGGCAAGAAGAACAAUAAGGGGAAGAAGCAGCAGACGGGUAAUGAACCCAAUCUGCCUGGUCUUCCACAAAAUGUUUCUCCACGUAUUGUUCCUACACCAAGCGAAGGGCAAACAUCUCUCCCUCCCCAGAUUGUUGAUGGAAGUGACGUAGAUACCGGCGAGGAGUCCGUGGACGUUACUGUCGGACCGGAGUGGAUUGCAAGGGUCGAAAUGGCGAGGCAAGCCGUUGAGAUCAUAGGUCAGCGCUUGAAUAGAACAGACAGGGAUCUCAAAGCUCUUGAAGAGUACUCCCUUGAGGAAGUUGAGAACGUCCGGAAGGAGUUGGAGGCACGCCAGCCAGCCGAGUAUGAGACAAAGGAGGCCAUUACUUCCUUAGAGAUCAGAUUUAGGGAAGCACUUGGCACAAUCAAGUUGCUUAAGGCCAAGGUGGCAGCACUCGAGGAGGAUAGAGAGGUUGGUGGAUCCUCAUCACAUAACCGAGAAAGGGAAGCCAGAGUUGAGGCGCCCAAGCCACCAAUCUUCAUAGGCGUCUGUGACGCGCAAGCGGUGGAUAAUUUCCUUUGGCACUUGGAGAAUUAUUUCAAGUGUAUGCGGGUCCGUAGUGAUGUGAAUAAGAUUAACACGGUUGUGUUGUAUCUUUAAGAGUUGGCCAUGCUAUGGUGGAAGCGUAAAGAGUCUGACAUCGCAAAGCGGACGUGCGCGUUGAACACAUGGGAGCAGUUCCGUGUGGUGUUCAAGAAGGCGUUCCUCCAUAGCAACGUUGUCUAUGAGGCAAAGCGCAAGAUGCGGGAGUUGAGACAAAAGGGCAGCAUACGCGCGUAUGUGCGGGAGUUUACCACCGUUACAUUUCAAAUUCCCAACCUCAUGGACGACGACACAUUGUUCUACUUCAUGGAUGGGCUGCAAAAUUGGGCCAGAACGGAGUUGGAACGGCAGGUCAGGAAUAUCGAGGACGCCAUUACGCAGGCUGAAGCCUUGACAGACUUCAGGCAGGAGAAGUCUUUCAGUGCCGAUGAGGACGACGAGGUAGGCAGUCAUGAUGAUAGUGGGGAUGACAGUUGCGAAGGCGAGGAGCAAACGCCACAACCCAAAAGGCGUGACACCUAUGAGUCCAACGGCAAGAAGCCUAGAGAUCGUGGCAACACGGUACAGGAUUCCAAGGACGGUUGCUUCAUAUGCAAAGGGCCGCAUGGUUACAAGAGAUGCCCUGAACUGAAAAGUCUUGGUGCUAUACUCCGUGAGCGGAAGGAAAAGAAAGCCCAAGAGGAAGUCGGGAAGACUAAGCAGUUGGGCGUGGUAAGCCUAUGCGGAGCUGUGAUUGAACAACCAUCGACGAGGCCAAGGCAAGAUGAGCCAAGGAAAGCGGAGCCGAAGCAUGCUGACAAGGGACUUCCAAAGUCUAUGGCGUGGGCUCAAACAGUCGACAUCAUGGUCAAUGGGAAACCUGCUCGUGCGUUGGUCGACAACGGUCCUGAGGUCAAUAUUAUGACCAAGACGGCAGCAAAGAGGUUGGGGUUGCGAUAUACUUCAACCAACGACCAAAUAAAGUCUGUCAACGCAUCACCGACUCCCAUAGUUGGAGUAGCACACGGCGUGAACAUCAUUGUAGGCGAUUGGCAAGGGAAAACCAAAUUCAUCAUCGCCCCCAUCAACAUGUUUGAUGUUAUUCUUGGGCAGAAGUUCUUCCAAUAGUGCCAUGCAGUAAUCGAUCCUCAUCUCCAAAAAUUGACAAUAAUGGAUAAAGGAAGGGAAUAUACAGUUCCCAUGGUGAAGGCACAUGCGGCGGAGAGAUAGGCUAGAUUUACAGCCAUGAAGCUCGAGAGGGUCGACGUGGGAAGAAGGUUAACACCAGCAGCGACCAUUGCAAGUUCUAGAGAAGACAAUGGUGCUGGAAAGACUUUGCCAUCGCGCAGUAAGAGGGUUCCGAGUAGGAACGCUGACAUGAUGAAGAAGCCGCUGGAGCACUUGCCCGCGUUGAAGGAGGAUGUUUGGAAGAUCGGGUCGAGAAAGGACGGGACAUCGAUGAAGAGGCUGUUCGAAGGGAUUGAUCGAGUACGCGAGUUGAUGGUCGCCCGGCAGAACUCAACGCCGAUACGGACGCAAUGCGAUGCGGACGUCGCAUCAUCAGGUGGGGGAGUUUGUCACGACCCGCUAGAUACCCAGGCUGUUUGCGACCUGCCUAGGCAGCCAGCAGCAGGCGCAAGGGGGCAGGCAGCCCACACCGGUCAGUAGACCAAGGUGCUGGCGCCCAAGCAGGCAGCAGUUGGAGGGGCAGCCGUUACAACCAUUUCGGCAGUUUCAGCCGUUUCAGCUGUUACAGCAGUUACAGCCGUUAGAGCUGUUACUGAAGGUCAAGGGGCAGCAGUUUCAAGCCUUGAUUAGGCUUGCUCAAGGCUUCUAGGACGUGGGGGCAGACUAGUCAAGGCUAGGAGUCCUUUUGGGAAGACUUAGGAGUCAUGCCUUGAGUGCAUGAACAUAGGGGCUUGUAUAGUUGUAUUUAUUUACUCUUAGGGGUUAGAGUAGUACAAAUAGUAGGGUCAUUGUAUUUUGUCAAGCAUCCAACAAUUCAUUGACUAAUAAGAUACUAGUCCAAUCUUCCCAAUUCUGUCUUUGUUUUCUCUUUCUAAGUUCUCUUAGCGAUCCAAGUAGAGGAAGGCUUACUUGAGUCUACAAGAUCGUGCAAGAAUCAUGAGUAGACCGUCAGGUGCCGCACGGAGCAUUGUCCGAUUCAAAAAGUCCGUGACAGUAGGCUUGCUUUGAGCUCCCUAAUUCUUCAAAGUAACUACGCCGGAGGCACGACCUAGACAAUUAAGGCCACAAGCGCAUCGCCGAUUGAAGGGACGAAACGACCGGUGCACACCUAGGGAGGACCGGUCGGUCCAUCCCAAAGUCCUACUAUGAGCUUUUUAACUGUAACAACUUAAAUAUACGCUAUUUAAGUUGGAAUUACUGCGGCUACUAGCACCGGACUUGCCCUCCAACGGAUCCUCGUUAAGGGAUUUAGAUUGUGCUCGUUCCAAUUACAAGACUCAUAGAGCCCGGUAUUGUUAUUUAUUGUCACUACCUCCCCGUGUCACGAUUGGGUAAUUUGCACGCAUGCUGCCUUCCUUGGAUGUUGUAGCCGUUUCUCAGGAUCCCUCUUCAAAAUCGAACCCUAAUUCUACGUCACCCAUCACCACCAUUGUAGGCCACUAUCCUAACAUCGAAAGUUGAUAGGGCAGAAAUUUGAAUGAUGCGGCACCGGCAUGAUGGCCUUGCUAUCCAUCGAGUUAUCAUGAAUCAUCGUAGCAACGGGCAGAGCCCGCGUUGAACUUUUAUCUAAUAAAUGCAUCCCUUCAGAAGUCGGGGUUUGUUGCACGUAUUAGCUCUAGAAUUACUAUAGUUAUCCGAGUAGUAGAUACAAUCAAACUAACUAUAACUGAUUUAAUGAGCCAUUCGUAGUUUCACAGUCUCAAUUUGUUCAUACUUACACAUGCAUGGCUUAAUCUUUGAGACAAGCAUAUGACUACUGGCAGGAUCAACCAGGUAGCAUUCCUAAACGACGACGUGCGUCACAUGAGCCCGGCGCGCCCUUUCUGUCACAGUCGGGUCCAAGGGGAGCGCGAGAGUCAUUCGCAAGGAGCAUUCAUUUUGAGUAGUUAGAAGCCGGUGAAGGCCCCAUGCCCACUGCGUCUUAUCGUAUCUGAGAGUUGGAGGCGCCACUCACGGAACACACCAUCGCACGAGGAAUCGAGGGAAGCCGUGGGACACAAAAACGUCUUUUGGGUUCACCCAGCGCAUGGUAUGCGAGGGGUAAAAGGCGACCGUUUGCACGUUCACAACGCCUAGGCAUUAGGUAUGCAGCACAACAUUCUGACGUCUUACCUAGAUUUCCCUUCAUCCGCCACUGAAUUGGCAUGCGAGUUAGGACAUCGCAGCUCCAAGUUGGAAUCCAACCUAACCAGACAUGCCCAAUACCACUCAUGCGUUAUACGUAAAUAACUCCGUCAAUGCACGCCCGACCUCCACCCCGUCGCCCGACAUGAGAUGUCGUGCGCCGAUGCCGAUGCCUUCAUUGCAAGGCCAAUGCGACAACCGCCAUUGUGCACCUGCCCAAGGGAGUUGAGAAUUUAAUCACUGCAAAGAUUGUUGGAGGGAGACCAAGGUUCACACAGGGGAACCGCCCAUGACGUCGUUAGACUGUGUGUGCUGUCCAAAGGCAGUGAUGGCAUGCCACGCCCGACGUCGUUCGACCGUGUUUGCCGUCCAAGGGCCAUGAUAGCAUGCCACGACCGACGUCGUUCGAUCGUGUGUGCUACCCAAAGGCGAUGAUGGCAUGCCACUCCCGACGUUAUUCGACCGUGUGUGCUAUCCAAAGGAGGUGGUGUCAUGCCACGCCCGACGUCAUUCAAUCGUGUGUGCUGCCCAAAGGCGAUGAUGGUAUGCCACACCCAAUGUCGUUCCACCGUGUUUGCCGUCCAAGGGCGAUGAUAGCAUGCCACGCUCGACGCCGUUCGAUUGUGUGAGCUAGUCCAAAGGUGAUGAUGGCAUGCCACGCCCGACGUCGUUUUACCCUGUGUGCUGCCCAAAGGCGAUGAUGUCAUGCCAUGCCCGACGUCAUUCGAUCAUAUGUUCUGUCCAAAGGCGGUGAUAACAUGUCACGCCCGAUGUCGUUUGACCGUGUUUGCUGUCCAAAGGCGGUGAUGUAAUGCCACGCCUGACAUUGUUCGACUGUGUUUGCUGUCCAAAGGCGGUAAUGUAAUGCCACGCCUGACAUUGUUCGACCUUGUGUGCUGCCCAAAGGUGAUAAAGGCAUGCCAUGCUCGACGUUGUUUGAUCCUGUGUGCUGUCCGAAGGCGGUGAUGGCAUGUCACGCUUGACGUCAUACAACCGUGUUUUCCAUCCAAGGGAUAUGAUGGCAUGCCACGCGCGGCGUCGUUCUACCGUGUGUGCUUCCCAAAGGCGAUGAUGGCAUGCCACGCCCGACGUCGUUUGACCAUGUGUGCUGUCCAAAGGUGGUGAUGUCAUGCCACGCCCGACGUAGUUCGACCGUGUGCUGCCCAAGGCGGUGAUGUCAUGUCAUGCUCGAUGUUGUCCGACCGUGUGUGCUGUCCAAGGGAGGUGAUGUCAUGCCGCGCCAGACGUUGCCGACCAUAUGUGUUGUUCAAGGGCAGUGAUGUCAUGCCACACCGGACGUUGCUGACCGUGUGUGUUGUCAAAUGGCGGUGAUGUAAUGUCACGCCCGACGACGUCAGACCGUGCGUGCAGUCUAAGGCGGUGCUGUUAUGCCACACCCGACGUCAUCUGACCGUGCGUGUAGUCCAAGGGUGGUGAUGUCAUUCCAUGCCCGACGUCGUCCGACCGUGCGUGUAGUCCAAGUGCGGUGAUGUCAUGCCAAGCCCGACGUCAUCCAACCGUGUGUGCUGUCCAAGGGAAGUGAUGGAAUGCCACGCCCGACGUCAUCCGACCGUGUGUGCUCUCCAAGGGCGGUGAUGUCAUGCCACACCCGACGUCGUUCAACCGUCAGUGCAGUCCAAGGGCAUUGAUGUCAUGCCACGCCCGACUUCGUCUGACUGUGCGUACAAUCCAAGGGAGGUAAUUUCAUGCCACGCCUGAUGUCAUUCGACUGUAGUGCUGCCCAAAGGCGAUGAUGGCAUACCACGCCCAACGUUGUUCGACCGUGUGUGCUGCCUAAAUGCGAUGAUGGCAUUCCUUGCCUGAUGUCGUUCGACCGUGUGUGCUGUCUAAAGGUAUUGAUGUUAUGCCACGCCUGACGUAGUUCGAUCGUGUGUGCUGCCCAAAGACGAUGAUGGCAUGCCAAGACCGACGUCGUUCGAGCGCAUGUGCUACCAAAGGCGGUGAUGGCAUGUCACGCCUGACGUUGUUCGAUCGUUUUUGCUGUACAAGGGCUAUGAUGGCAUGCCACACCUGACGUCGUUCGACUGUGUGUGCUGCCCAAAGGCGGUGAUGGCAUGUUACUCCCGACGUCGUUCAACCGUGUGUGCAGUCCAAAGGUGGUGAUGUUAUGACACGCCCGACGUCGGUCGACUGUGUGUGCUGCCCAAAGGAGAUGAUGGCAUGCCACACCCGACGUUGUUCGAGCGCGUGUGCUGCCAAAAACGGUGAUGGCAUGUCACGCGUGACAACGUUCGACUGUGUUUACUGUACAAGGGCUAUGAUGGCAUGCCACAACCGACCUCGUUCGACCCUGUGUGUUGCCCAAGAUCGGUGAUGUGAUGCCAUGCCUGAUGUCUUCCGACCGUGUGUGCUGUCCAAGUGCGGUGAUGUCAUGCCACGCCUGACGUUGCCUACCGUGUGUGCUGUCCAAGCGCGGUGAUGUCAUGCCACGCCCGACGUUGCCGACCGUGUGUGCUGUCCAAGGGCGGUGAUGUCAUGCCACGCCUGACGUUGCCGACCGUGGGUGUUGUCCAAGGACAGUGAUGUCAUGCCACGCCCGACGUCGUCCGACCUUGCGUGCAGUCCAAGGGCGGUGAUGUCAUGCAACGCCCGAUGUCGUUCGACCGUGUGUUCUGUCCAAGGGCGGUGAUGUCAUGUCACGCCCGACGUCAUCCUACCGUGUGUGCAGUCCAAGGGCGGUGAACCUGUUAAUCAGUACUCCAAUUUCGAAGGCCAAUGUAAUAGGACCAAAAUCCUAUAAUGUUAUCCCAUGCUAAUAUAUACAGAGCGUAGUGCCACGAACUUAGAGUAUUCACUAAGACUCCGUGCGCCACUUGACAAUUUACUCACGAUUCUUUCAAGAUCUUGCAAACUCAAGUAAGCCUUUAAUCUCAGAAUGCUAAGAGAAUUAAGAAGAAAGACAAAGACAGAUUUUGGAAGAGAGGACUUGUAUUGAUUGUUUGAUUAUUGGAUGCCUUACAAAUGAAAUAAUUCACCUAUUUAUACUACUCUAAUGCCUUAAAAUAAAUAAAUGCUUAUUUACAAGUCCCUAAGUACAUGCACUUUAGUACAUGUUCUACAUUCCUAGAACAUGUCUCUAGCUCUUCCAAAAAGGCUUCUAGAAUUCUCUAUUUUGCCUCACAGUCUUCCCCAACAAUCUAGAAUGCUCUAGAGUCUUCUACCAGCCUCUCCAAGGCUCUAGGGUCGCCUGCCCCAUCCGGAUGCUGCAAAAUUGGCUGGAAAUGUGGCAGGACGUCACAGUAGGCUUGCUUUGAGCACUCUAGUUCUUCAAAGUAACAGCGCCAGAGGCACGAUCUGGACAAUUAAGGCCAGGAGCGCAUCAUCGAUAGAAAGGACGAGACGACCGGUGCACACCUAGGGUGGACCGGUUGGCCCAUCCCAAAGUCCAACUACGAGCUUUUUCACUGCAACAACUUAAAUAUACGGUAUUGGAGCUGGAAUUACAGUGGCUUCUAGCACCAGACUUUCCCUCCAAUGGAUCCUCGUUAAGGGAUUUUGAUUGUACUCAUUCGAAUAACCAAAGUCAUUGAGCACGGUAUUGUUAUUUAUUGUCACUACCUCCCCGUGUCACGAUUGGGUAAUUUGCGCACAUGCUGCCUUCGUUGGAUGUGGUAGCCUUUUCUCAGGCUCCCUCUCCACAAUCGAACCCUAAUUCUCCGUCACCCGUCACCACCAUGGUAGUCCACUAUCCUACCAUCAAAAGUUCAUAGGGCAGAAAUUUGAAUGAUACGUAGCCGACAUGAUGGCCGUGCUAUCCAUCGAGUUAUAAUGAAUCAUCACAGCAACGGGCAUAGCCCGCGUUGAACUUUUAUCUAAUAAAUGCAUCUCUUCCAGAAGUCGGGGUUUGGUGCACGUAUUAGCUAUAGAAUUAGUACGGUUAUCCGAGUAGUAGAUACCAUCAAACAAACUAUAACUGAUUUAAUGAGCCAUUCGGAGUUUCACUGUCAUAAUUUGUUCAUACUUACACAUGCAUGGCUUAAUCUUUGAGACAAGCAUAUGACUACUGGCAGGAUCAACCAUGUAGCAUUCUUCAACGGUGUCGUAUGUCGCAUGAGCCCGGCGCGCCCUUUCGGUCUCGGUCGGGUCCAAGGGGAGCGCGACAGUCAUUUGCAAGGAGCAUUCAUUUUGGGUAGAUAGAAGCCGGUGAAGGCCCCAUGUCCACUGCGUCUACCGUAUCCGAGAAUUUGAGGUGCCGCUCACGGACCACGCCAUCCCACCACUAAGCGAGGGAAGGCAUGGUACGCAAAAGCGUCUUUUGGGUUCACCCCGAACAUGGGAUGCGAGGGGCGAAAGGCGACCGUUUGCACGUGAACAAUGCCUAGGAAUGAUGUAUGCAACACAGGAUUCCAACGUCCAACCAGCCUAUUUUGCGCUUCUUUUGCCACCUAAUUGGCAUGCGAGUUAGGAUGUCGCUGCUCGAAAUAGGGAUCCAACCUAACCACACAUGCCCAAUACCACUCAUGUGUUGUACAUGAAUAGCUCCGUCAAUGUACGCUCGACAUCCAACUUGACGCUCGACAUGAGAUGUCGUGUAAUAAUGCCGAUGCCUUCUUUGCAAGGCCAAUGGACACCCGCCGUUGCACGCCUGCCCAAGGGAGUUGAGAAUUUAAUCACUACAAAGAUUGUUGGAGGAAGACCAAGGUUCAGUCAAGGGAACCGCCCAUGAUGUCGUUCGACCGUAUGUGCUGUCUAAAAGCGGUGAUAGCAUGCCACGCCAGAUGUUGUUCGACCGUGUUUUCCAUCCAAUGUCUAUGAUGGCAUGCCAAUCCCGAAGUCGUUCGACCGUGUGUGCUGCCCAAAGGCGAUGAUGGCAUUCCAUGCCGGACGUCGUUCGACCGCGUGUGCUGUCCAAAGACGGUGAUGUCAUGCCACGCCUGAUGUUGUUCGACCGUGUGUGCUGCCCAAAUGUGAUGAUGGCAUGCCAUGCCCGAUGUCGUUCGACCAUAUGUGCUGCCCAAAGGCGAUGAUUGCAUGCAUGCCAUGCCCGACUUCAUUCGACAUUGUGUAUUGUCCAAAGGCGGUGAUGGCAUGUCACGCCCGACAUCGUUCGACCGUGUGUGCUGUCCAAAGGAGGUGAUGUCAUGCCACGCCUGAUGUCAUUUGACCAUGUGUGCUGCCCAAAGGCGAUGAUGGCAUGCCACGCCCGAUGUCGUUCGACCUUGUCUGCUGUCCAAAUGUGGUGAUGGCAUGACACGCAUGACAUUGUAUGACCGUACUUUCCAUCGAAGGGAUAUGAUGGCAUGCCACGCCCGAUGUCGUUCUACCGUGUGUGCUGCCCAAAGGCGAUGAUGGCAUGCCACGCCCGACGUCGUCCGACCGUGUGUGUUGUCCAAAGGCGGUGAUGUCAUGCCACGCCCGACGUAAUCCGACCAUGUGUGCUUCCAAGGGCAGUGAUUUCAUGCCACGCCCGACGUCGUCCGACCGUGUGUUCUGUCCAAGGGCGGAGAUGUCAUGCCAUGCCCGACGUUGUCGACUGUGUGUGCUGUCCAAGAGCGGUAAUGUCAUGCCACGCCCGAGGUCGUCCGACCGCGCUUGCAUUACAAGGGCGGUGAUGUCAUGCCACGCCUGAUGUCGUCUGACCGUGCGUGCAGUCCAAGGGCGAUUAUGUCAUGCCAUGCUCGACGUCGUCCAAUGGUGUUUGCCAUCCAAGGGCAUUAAUGACAUGCCACGCCCGACAUUAUCCGACUGUGUGUGCUCCCUAAGGGCGGCGAUGUCAUGCCACGCCCAACGUCGUUUGACCGUUACUGCAGUCCAAGGGUGGUGAUGUCAUGCCACGCCAGAUGUCGUCCCGACUGAGCGUGCAGUCCAAGGACGGUGAUGUCUAUCCACGCUCGAUGCCGUUCGACCUUUUGUGCUAUUUUAGGCGAUGAUGGCAUGCCACGCCCAACGUUGUUCGACCGUAUGUGCUGCCCAAAGGCGAUGAUGGCAUGCCACUCCCGACGUCAUUCGACCGUGUGUGCUGUCCAAAGGCGAUGAUGGCAUGUCACGCCCGACGUCAUUCGACCGUGUGUGCUGUCCAAAGGCAGUGAUGUCAUGCCACGCUCGACGUCGUUCAACCGUGUGUGCUGCCCAAAGGCGAUGAUGGCAUGCGAUGCCUAACGUCGUUCGAGCGCGUUUGCUGUCCAAAGGCGGUGAUGGCAUGUCACGCCUGACCUCGUUCGACUGUGUUUGCCAUACAAGGGCUAUGAUGGAAUGCCACGCUCGACGUCGUUCGAACGUGUGUGCUGCCCAAAGGCAAUGAUGUCAUGCCACGCCCGAUGUCGCUCGACCGUGUGUGCUAUCCAAAAGCGGUGAUGUUAUGCCACGCCCGACGUAGUCUGACCGUGUGUGCUACCCAAGGGCGGUAAUGUCAUGCCACACCAAACGUUGUUCGACCUUGGGUGUUGUCCAAUGGCGGUGAUGUCAUGCCACGCCCGACGUCGUUCGACUGUGUGUGCCAUCCAAGGGUGGUGAUGUCAUGCCACGCCUGACGUCGUUUGACCAUGUGUGCUGUCCAAGGGUGGUGAUGUCAUACCAGGCCUGACGUCGUACGACCAUGCGUGCAGUCAAAGGGCGGUGAUGUCAUUCCACAGACCUCGUUCGACCGUUUGUGCUGUCCAAGGGCAGUGAUGGCAUGCCACGCCCGAUGUCGUCUGACCGUGUGUGCUGUCCAAGAGCGGUGAUGACUUGCCACGCCCGACGUCGUUCGACCGUCUGUGCUGCCCAGAGGCAAUGAUGGAAUGACACGCCCGACAACAUUUGACCGUCUGUGCUGUCCUAAGGCGGUGAUGGCAUGCCACGCCCGAUGUCGUUCGACCGUGUUUCCCUUCCAAGGGCGAUGAUGACAUGCCAUGCCCGACGCCUUCUGACUGUGUCAGCUAGUCCGAAGGUGAUGAUGGCAUGUCACACCCGACGUCGUUCGACUGUGUGUGUUGUCCAAAGGUGGUGAUGUCAUGCCAUGCCCGACGUUGUUCGACUGUGUGUGUUGCCCAAAGGCGAUGAUGGCAUGCCACGACCGGCGUCGUUCGACUGUGUGUGUUGUCCAAAGGCGGUGUUGUCAUGCCACACCCGACGUCGUUCAAACGUGUGUGUUGCCCAAAGGCGAUGAUGGCAUGCCGCACCCGAUUUCGUUCGAUAGUGUUUGCCGUCCAAGGGCGAUGAUGGCUUGCCACGCCUGACGUCGUUCGACUGUGUGAGCUAGUCCAAAGGCGAUGAUAGCUUGCCACGCCUGACGUCGUUCGACCGGUUGUGCUGCCCAAAGGCGAUGAUGUCAUGCCACGCCCGACGUCGUUCGACCUUGUGUGCUGCCCAAAGGCAAUGAUGUCAUUCCAUGCCCGACGUCGUUCAACCGUGUGUGCUGUCCAUAUGUGGUGAUGGCAUGUCACGUCCGAUGUCAUUCGACCGUGUGUGCUGUCCAAAAGCGGUGAUGUCAUUCCACGCCUGACGUCGUUCGACCGCGUGUGCUGCCAAAAGGCGAUGAUGGCAUGCCACACCCGACGUCGUUCGACCGUGUGUACUGUCCAAAGAGGGUGAUGGCAUGCCACGCCUGACGUCGUACGACCGUGUUUGCCGUCCAAGGGCUAUGAUGGCAAGCCACGCCCAACGUCGUUCCACCAUGUGUGCUGCCAAAAGGCAAUGAUGACAUGCCACACCCGACGUCGUUCGACCGUGUGUGCUUUCCAAAGGCGGUGAUUUCAUGCCACGCCCGACGUAGUCCGGCCGUGUGUGCUUCCCUAGGGCGGUGAUGUCAUACCACGCCUGACGUCGUCCGACUGUGUGUGCUGUCCAAAGGCGAUGAUGUCAUACCAUGCCCAUCGUAGUUCGAUCGUGUGUGCUGCCCAAGGGCGGUGAUGUCAUUCCUCACCCGAUGUCGUCCGACCAAGGGCAGUGAUGUCAUGCCCGCCCAACGUUGCCGACUGUGUGUGUUGUCUUACGGAGAUGAUGUCAUGCCACACCCGACGUUGCCGAAGGUAUGUGAUGUCCAAGGGAGGUGAUAACAUGCCACGCCCGACGUCAUUUUACCAUGCGUGCAGUCCAAGAACGGUGAUGUCAUGCCACAGUCGACGUCGUCCGACCAUGUGUGUUGUCCAAGGGCGGUAAUGUCAUGCCACGCCCGACGUCGUCCGACCGUGCAUGCAGUCCAAGGGCGGUGAUGUCAUUCCACACCCGACGUCGUUCUACUAUGUGUGCUUUCCAAGGGCGGUGAUUUCAUGCCACGCUCGACGUUUUCUGACCGUGUGUGCUGUCCAAGGGCGGUGAUGGCAUGCCAGACAUGACGUCGUCCGACCAUGUGUGGUGUCCAAGGGCGGUGAUGACAUGCCAUGCCCGACGUCGUUCAACCGUGAGUGCAUUCCAACGGCGUAUUUUGCAGGUCGCCCAUUCUGUGUAGGCAUUUGCAGAUGCCACUUGGCCGCGGACGUGCUGCGUACGCAGACCCAUUUGCCUAUUGACAUCUAACUUGGCUUAAAAAUUGCACCCGACAUCCCGAAAACCUCUUAUAGUGACAUGUCAUUAGUCCCUUAACAUGUCAUUAGGAUUGAUAAAUCAACUCAACGUCACGAACACCUCGCAAUGGGGCUUAGUUAUCGGACAAGUUUUUGACCGUCGUAGAACGUAUAACUUAACACAUAGCGGCGGACUAGUGAACUUUACGUGCUAUAUUACUUCCGGUACUUAUAUUUCAACACUUAGUUAUUUUUUCCCUUUCCAAGGAUGCAAGAAACACGUGAACCUCUCAUUUGAAAAGCUAGAAAUUAAUGGAUUUGAUUUUGGGGGAGGGGAGUGUGGAGGAGACGAAUCGGAGCGACAAAGGGCUGAAUCUCAGUGGAUCGUGGAAGCAAGACCACUCUGCCACUUACAAUACCCUAUCACGUAUCUAAUUCAUCUACAAAGGAUUCUACUUGCCGCUCGAUGGAAAUUGUACUUCAAGGUGGUCAACCCGACGCUUCCGUCGCGGGGACUUAGCCAAUGACACGUGCCCUUAGGGGCCAUAGGCCCCUAUUGCGGGUCGGCAAGCAGACGGCAGGCGCAUGUAUUGCUUCUAGCCCAGAUUCUGACUUAGAGGCGUUCAGUCAUAAUCCAACACACGGUAGCUUCGCGCCACUGGCUUUUCAACCAAGCGCGAUGGCCAAUUGUGUGAAUCAACGGUUCCUCUCAUACUAGGUUGAAUUACUAUUGCGACACUGUCAUCAGUAGGGUAAAACUAACCUAUCUCAGAAUGGUCUAAACUCAGCUCACAUUCCCUAUUGGUGGGUGAACAAUCAAACACUUGGUGAAUUCUGCUUCACAAUGAUAGGAAGAGCCGACAUUGAAGGAUCAAAAAGCAACGUUGCUACGAACGCUUGGCUGCCACAAGCCAGUUAUCCCUGUGGUAACUUUUCAGACACCUCUAGCUUCGAAUUCUGAAGGUCUAAAGGAUCGUUAGGCCAUGCUUUCACGAUUCGUAUUCGUACUGGAAAUCAGAAUCAAAUGAGCUUUUACCCUUUUGUUCCACACGAGAAUUAUAUUCUCGUUGAUCUCAUCUUAGGACACCUGCGUUAUCAUUUUACAGAUGUUCCGGCUCAGCAAAACUCCCCACCUGACAAUGUCUUCCGUCCGGAUCAGCCCACGAAGCGAGCCUGGGGUCCAAAAAGAGGGGCAGUACCUCGCUUCUAAUUCACGGGAUAAGUAAAAUAACGUUAAAAGUAGUGGUAUUUCAGUUUCGCCUUUCGGCUCCCACUUAUACUACACCUCUCAAGUCAUUGACAAAGUUGGACUAGAGUCAAGCUCAACAGGGUCUUCUUUCCCCGCUUAUUAUGCCAAGCCCGUUCCCUUAGCUGUGGUUUCGUUGGAUAGUAGACAGGGACAGUGGGAAUUUCAUUAAUUCAUUAAUGCGCGUCACUAAUUAGAUGAUGAGGCAUUUGGCUACCUUAAGAGAGUCGUACUUACUCCCGCCGUUUUCCCGUGCUUGGUUGAAUUUCUUCACUUUGACAUUCAGAGCACUGGGCAGAAAUCACAUUGUGUAAACAUCCGUUGGGACCAUCACAAUGCUUUGUUUUAAUUAAACACUCGGAUUCCCCUUGUCCGUACCAGUUAUGAGAUGGGUUUUUGACGCCCGGGGAAGGCCCCCAAUGGAACCAUUACCAGUUUGUCCCCCAACUGGCACGCGACGACCCGCUCUCGCUGCAGGAGUAGCUCGAGCAGUCAACCGACAGCUGACGGGUUCGGGACUGGGACCCCCAUGCCCAUCUCUCAGAGCCAAUCCUUUUCCCAAAGUUAUGGAUCCAUUUUGUCGACUACCCUUGCCUACAUCUUUCCAUCGACCAGAGGCUGUUCACCUUGGAGACUUUAUGCGGUUAUGAGUACGACCGGACGUGGACGACAUUCGGUCCUACGGAUUUUAAACGGCCACCGGGAGCACACCGGACACCACGCGAUGUGUGGUGCUCUUCCAGCCGCUGGACCCUACCUCCGAAUGAGCCGAUUUAAGGGUGGGCAGGCUGUUAAACAGAAAAAAAACUCUUCGCGAGGCUCCCGAUGAUGUCUCCGGACAGACCUGGGCCGUCCAUGGCCUUAUGUGGGUCGUGCAUGCGACGACUAGAUUUAGCCGUAACAGGAGCUCUAGAUCUCGCCACUCGCCCGAAAGCACAACCGUUUCCAAACCAAAUGCUAUUAUAAAUCGAUCUUGAGAAGUUCCCUCAGCGGCGCAUGGUUGCCCCACAGACGUUGUUGGCAUGUUUUUGUAAGCGCCCAAAGGCGUAGCACGAACGAGCCAUGCAUGCCGUCAAGCGCCCACGCAACACGCCUACUAAGCCCGUAGGAUGCCCGUGAUGUCCGCCUCAGUCGCCCCGCAGACACCGUUGGCAUGUUUUUGCAAGCGCCCAACGGCAUAGCACGGACGAGCCAUGUAUUCCAUCAAGCGCCCACACAUAACGCGUUCUAAGCCCAUGGAACACGCUUGACGCCCGCUUGCUUUUGCCUCAGUUGCCCCGCAGAUGUCGCUGGCAUGUUUUUGUUGACACCCAACGGCGUAGCAAGGACAAGCCAUGCAUGAUGUCAAGCGCCCACGCAGCACGCCUACUAAGCCCAUAGGACGCCCAUGACGUCGGCCUGCCACCACCUCAAAUGCCCCGCAUACGUCGCGGGCAUGUUUUUGUAAAAGCCCAACGGCAUAGCAUGGACGAGCUAUGCAUGCCAUCAAGCGCCCACGCAGCACGCCUACUAAUCCCACAGGACGCCCUUGACGUCCACCUGUCUUGGCCUCAACCGCCGCGCAAACGUCUCUUGCAUGUCUUUGUAGAUGCCCAAUGGCGAAGCACGGACGAGCCAUGCAUGCCAUUAAGCUCCCACGCAGCACGCCUACUAAGCCCAUAGGACGCCCUUGACGUUCGCCUUCCUUUGCCUCACUCAACCCGUCGAUGUCGGCUACGUAUUUUUGUAAACGCCGAAUGACGUAGCAAGGACAAGCCAUGCAUGCCAUCAAGUGCCCACGCAACACGCCUACUAAGCCCACGGGACACCUAUGUCGUAUGCCUGUCUGCGCCUCAGUAUGCCUCCUACACCUCUACCCCCUUAUAUAUGCUUUCAAAAGUUUUACCCAUGUGACAGGAGUAGACAUGGAUUUUCCAGAGAAUCAUAAUGGAAAUGUACAACCCAAAUAUGCACGUUCUAAGGUACAAACACACAUCAGCUUUCACAAAUGACUUUAAUCUAUAUAAAAAAAUAUUUUUCAACAUUUUUUUUAAUUUUUAUUUUUUUCAAAAAUUCCAAAAAAUUAAUAAUAAAUUAAAAAAAGUAGGGAAAAUAUCGAAAAAAUAUGAAAUUAACUCCGAAAAUUUACAAAUAAAUAUGGGAACCUUAAAAUAAAAAAUUUAAUUUUUAAAAGGAGACGUAAAAAAUUAGAAAGCGUAAAAAUAAAUUAUAAAAUAAUGAUCAAUAUUCGAAAAAUAUGGAAAUGCUCGAAAAACUUCUAAACAUGUAAAAUUAAUGAUAAGAUAUAUAUUUACACAAAUAAAAGAUGUUUCAAUAUCGUACGAACCGUAAAAGUAAUGAAAAUGAUGCAAAGAGCCACAUUUGGCGGAAACGUUAGAGAAUAGAUCAUGGAAAUUAGACGAAUAUGUUUGUUAUGCAUGGAGGUUGUUUCAAAAUCCUUUGAUUUAUGUACGGCAUGAACAUCUGCAUGUUUCGUUUAGAACUCGAACAAUGUCAUGCAAGCCACGACCGAUGCAGGCAGGCCACCGCUGACCAUUGUGUUUAGGCACAUCUGACGACGGCCGACCGUUUAUGCUGUCCAAGGGCUAUGAUGGCAUGCCACGCCCGACGAUUCCCGACCAUCUGUGCUGUCCAAGGGCGAUGAUGGCAAGCCACGCCUGACGCCGUUCGACCAUCUAUGCUGCCCAAGGGCGAAGAUGGCAUGCCACACCCCACGUCGUCCGACCGUGUCAGCUAGUCCAAAGGCGAUGAUAGCAUGCGACGUGCGAUGUCGUCUGACCGUGUCAGCUAGUCCAAAGGAGAUGAUGGCAUGCCACGCUCGACGUCGUCUGAUCGUGUGUCCUGUCCAAGGGCUAUGAUGGCAUGCCACGCCCGAGGAUGGCCGACCCGCCGCACCCUCUUACUCAUCGGGGCCUGGCGCCUGCCCUGACGGCCGAGUGUAGGUUGCGCGCUUAAGAGCCAUCCAUUUUCAGGGCUAGCUGAUUCGGCAGGUGAGUUGUUACACAUUCCUUAGUAGAUUUUGACUUCCAUGACCACCGUCUUGCUGUCUUAAUCGACCAACAUCCUUUGUGGAAUCUAGGUUAGCGCGCAGUUUGGCACCAUAACCCGGCUUCCGGUUCAUCCCGCAUCGCCAGUUCUGCUUACAAAAAAUGGCCCACUUGGAGAUCUUGAUUCCGUG